rnacentral:lncRNA from 1 species
CAACAAACUUCCAUGGGAUAAAACCAAUGAUCCUCAGCUCGCUGAGCCUGCAUCAUUUCUUCUGGUGGCCUGUAUGAGGAACUUGCUUCACUGGCUUGUCAGCUGAAGUUCUGGACCAUGGGAGCUUCUAAUUCCAUUCCUAAGGACUCACUUUGAGUUGCCUUUUAAAUAACUGGACAAACCUUGAUCUACAAGAUCUAAAGAAAAAGAGACUUACCUUUUACUGUACUACUGUUUGGCCUCAAUAUACUCUGAAUGAGGAAAAAUGGCCCAUGAAUGGCACCCUACAUUUUAAUACUAUUUUUCAACUAGACUUAUUUUGCCACCACCUGGAAAAAUGGUCUGAAAUCCCUGAUAUUCAAGCAUUCAUGGCCCCAUAUCAAGAUCCUGAACUCAGAGCAGUUUGUCGCAUGUGUCUAGUUUCCCCCACUAAAGUUGAAAAACCC